rnacentral:rRNA from 1 species
UACAGAGGUGGCAAGCGUUGUUCGGAAUUACUGGGCGUAAAGGGCGCGUAGGCGGUUCGUUAAGUCCUGUGUGAAAUCCCCCGGCUCAACUGGGGAACUGCACAGGAAACUAGCGGGCUUGAGUUCGGGAGAGGGAAGCGGAAUUCCGGGUGUAGCGGUGGAAUGCGCAGAUAUCAGGAGGAACACCGGUGGCGAAGGCGGGUCUCUGGGCAGUGAACUGACGCUGGAGGAGCGAAAGCGUGGGGAGCGAACAGG